UUUUCUCUUGCAGUCAGGAUUCCUGAAGAGGGAGAGCUGCAAUGAAAGUCAGUCUUUACAUGAAACAAGUUAAGACACUGGAGGCAGAGGUUUGCCGGUUUUCGCCUCUUUCUUCUCUGAACACAAAAUCUCAGGGUGUGGACUGCUCCUGAUAAGAUAAGAGUUAUGCGGACCAAACCACUCGGGCUUUGUGGACAGGGGAAGAUUGGACAGCCGAGGUGGCAGCGCCAACAGGAAAUGGCCCCCUUUGAAACAGGAAAAGGACGUGAAGAGUGUUUGUCAAAGGAUACUGAAAGGAUUGUUACAUAAACUAAAGGAGCUUCUGCGAGUUUAGGAGAGCUAUUCUUCGAUCUUACCACAGAAUGAAAUGGACGGAUUGACAGAGGACAAGUAGAAAAGGUGGUAGCUUGUCCUUCAACUGUGGGUGUGAAAAGCUGGAUCAAUAAAAAAAAGGAAGAAAA